GGCAUUCUCAUAUGAUAUAGAAUAAGAUGGGUUGUAGAGAUGUAGCUUUAGGAAUAAUCGGUUGAGGUGUGCCGAAACCGACGUAUGCUGUAGGCCGGUAAAAAGUGGGCUUACAUAGAGGAAAUAUGAACAAUGGGAGUGGAGGGUGGGGCUAUUCGUCUGACCAACAAAGGUAAGUAGGGAGAGGGGGGAGUCCCUUUUAUAGG